CUUCCCGUGUGCCUUGCAAGGACAAAAAGCUCUAGCCUUCAUCUUCUCCUAGUACCCUGGUGCUGUGGACUUAAGGGAUUCAAGUUGAGACGUGGUCAGCCUCUCUGGACAAACUAGACAUCAACUUCUUCCCCUGAGGCGAGCCUUUCUGCAGUGAUCCAGUAUCGUGGUGUUGUGGAUCAAGGGGUUCGAGUUAAGAUGUGAUAGCCUCCUGAAGAAAGCCGUGAAGAAGUACCAGGUCUUCAGUCACUUUGCUGUGUGCCUAGCAAGGACAAAAAAACUCCAGCCUUUAUCUUCUCCUGGUAU